ACUGAUUAUUGAUUGCUGGUUGGUGAGAUAAAAAUAGCUUUAAAUAAUCUUUAUACUGUUUAACAGAGGCUUCUAGAGAGAGAAAAUAUUAUAUUGAACCUUCACUUGCUAGUCCCUUCCCGUAUAAACGCUUGUUGUUUCUAGACAUUUUAUUUUAUUGUUUCCUGCUUUUAUUUCAAAGAUUGCUAUUGUUGAAAAGGUGCUUUUUCCUUUCUUUCUUAUCAUAUCCUUCGUUUCAAUUAUUUAGGCCAUUAUUUUCACCUAUAUUCUACUGUUAGAAUUUCAUUUUCAGUUUUUCUCUCUUUUCCUAUAUUAAUGUACAUGUGGGUAGUUCACUCUUUUGGGUCCUUGCAUUAUUGACCCUUUUCUGCUGGUUUCUUGUCACUUCAGUGAGUUUUUGUGAGAUUUGGGAUCUGGGUUCUGCUUAGAUUUAGGUAUUUGUGCUGCUUUUAGUACAUUUUUACUGAUACCUGAAUAUAUCCUUUUUUCUGUUUUUCCUAUUUUAGAGAGAGAGAGAGAUUUUUAGAGUGUGAAGAUUCAUGGCUGGAGUUGGAGGAGCUGGUGGUGGAAAGGCAGCGGAGCCGCAGCCACACCCACCAAAGGAGCAGCUUCCAAACGUUUCUUAUUGCAUAACCAGUCCUCCCCCAUGGCCUGAGGCUAUCCUGCUUGGUUUCCAACACUACCUUGUGAUGCUUGGCACAACUGUUCUUAUUCCCACUGCCCUUGUUCCCCAAAUGGGAGGUGGAAAUAGGGAGAAAGCGGAGGUGAUCCAGACAUUACUCUUUGUUGCUGGUUUGAACACAUUGCUUCAAAGUUUGUUUGGUACUCGGUUGCCUGCUGUCAUUGGAGGCUCUUAUACCUUUGUCCCAACGGCUAUUUCAAUUAUCCUUGCUGGUCGAUUUAGUGAUAAUCUUGACCCUAUUGAGCGAUUUAAGAAGAUAAUGCGUGCAAUACAAGGUUCCCUCAUUGUCGCAUCAACUCUUCAAAUUGUUCUUGGCUUCAGUGGCCUAUGGCGUAAUGUUGCCAGGUUCUUAAGUCCACUUUCAGCUGUUCCUUUGGUAGCUCUUGUUGGUUUUGGGCUGUAUGAGCUUGGUUUUCCUGGGGUUGCCAAAUGCGUGGAGAUUGGGUUGCCAGAGCUGAUCAUAUUAGUAUUUGUUUCACAGGUAUUUCUGUUGAGGCGUUACGCAUGCAUUUUUCUUGUUACUCUUAUAUAUAUAUGUAUAUAUAUAUAACAUUUUCUGUUGACUCUUGUAUUUGAUCCUUCUCUCUUGAACUUGUGACCAAGGUUUGUAGUUAGGCACAGUAAUGUAUUUUUCCUUUGCAGUAUAUGCCCCAUGUGAUAAAGUCUGGAAGACAUGUUUUUGAGCGUUUUGCUGUAAUAUUCUCGGUGGUAAUUGUAUGGAUUUAUGCUCACCUACUUACUGUGGGUGGGGCCUACAAUGAUGCAGCACCAAAGACACAAAAUACUUGUCGUACUGAUCGUGCAGGACUUAUAGAUGCUGCUCCAUGGUAUGCUUUCACUGUAUUCUUAAAGGCAUGCAUCUUGGCAUUUAUUAAUUGACACAUGCCAUUGCUGGAUGCUAUACUGGGGACCAUGAGUUAUUUGUUGAUACCCAUUAAUUUGUAAAUUGACCUUUAAAAAAUCAGAUGCAUGAAAAAGCAACUAGUGUUUUUGCAGCAAGCCUUUCUUAACAAAUUCGAUGUAGUUUGGAAAAUUAAUUUAUUAAUAGCCGCAACCAAUUUGAUUACAGAAUGACACUUGACUUUGCCAUUUAAAUUUGGAAAUUAAGGCUGAAUCCUAUUUGUAAGGAGCUCGGUCACUCUGUAAUUGUGAACAAACUGAUUUGGAAAGGCAAGCUAGAUGGCCCAUAUUUGGAGCUUCUCGCUAGAUUAUCCAUCAGAACUGAUUGUCCUAGACCAGUAAUGGAGAGUUUCUGAUACAGUAGGAUUUGGUUCCACCUUAUCUUACUGUUGCAAUUUUCCUCAGGAAGGUUCCCUAAUUGGUUCCUCUGCAUUAAGAGUUUGAUUAUAGAUUACGAUGGUUUAAUUAAGUUGCAUCUUCCAGUGUGGCUAGCAUUCUGGGUGAAAUGUGCUAUUCUAAUUGAAAUUUUCGGUUUGCAGGAUAAGAUUUCCAUAUCCAUUUCAAUGGGGAGCGCCUUCAUUUGAUGCUGGUGAAGCCUUUGCCAUGAUGAUGGCUUCCUUUGUUGCUCUUGUAGAGUCCACUGGUGCAUUUAUUGCGGUUUCAAGGUAUGCAAGUGCGACCCCAAUCCCACCUUCUGUUCUUAGCCGUGGCAUUGGCUGGCAGGUAAUUUAAAAAGAUUGAUCUCUAAAUGAUUGAAAAUGCAAAAUUAAGCUUCUUAAUUUUAUGAGUCUGUUUUACAUUUCCAUCUUGUGGGAAUAGUUCCUGUAAUGCUGCAUGCUUCAACGCAUGUUUGAAAAUGAAUCAGUAGACAGAUGCUUGAAUUAUGCUAUUUGUGUGUUACAUAGCUUAGCAUUUCUUUGGGACCCCAAAAGUGGGAAGGUUUGCGUGAUGGGCUGUUUCUUGUUCCAGUUCAAGCCCUUCCUCCAAAGUGCAGGGGUGAGGACCUUCUUUGCUUUCUUUUAAUGGGACAAGAAAUAAAAUCCUUCAGAUGGUCAGACAGGUCUUGUUCGUGGCUAUUGUUUCGUAAUCGUAGUCAUUCCACUACCAUUACAAUCACCAUCCCAUCAACUGAUCUAAUCAUACACUAAAAAAAAAGAGAGUAAAAUAAGAAUCAUGUAUAGAACUAGUAUAUGCUGGUGAUGUGGUUGAAAUCAUGACAAAUGUUGGGAACUUUAUGAACAUUCAUCAUUUUUCUCUCCCUGGAGUGAGGUUAUUGUCCAUCCUGGAAUUUGGAAAUAUAAAUUCUUGCAAGGAUGAUUUCUAUGUUGGCAAGUAUUAUGCAAAGGCAUCAUCGGCCUUUUCUGUGUACAAUACAUCUAACAUGUUUGCUUUGAACUUUAAUUUUGAUGAACAUUAAAUUGCUAUUUGUAUAAUUUCUGCUUCAGGGAGUUGCCAUUUUGCUUUCUGGGUUGUUUGGAACUGUGAAUGGAUCCUCUGUUUCUGUAGAGAAUGCUGGCCUUUUGGCCUUAACACGAGUUGGUAGCCGAAGGGUUGUCCAGAUAUCUGCUGGCUUCAUGAUUUUCUUCUCUAUCCUCGGUAAAUUUGGAGCUGUCUUUGCUUCUAUACCAGCACCCAUUGUUGCUGCUUUGUAUUGUCUUUUCUUUGCUUAUGUGGGUGUUGGAGGUCUUAGCUUUCUUCAGUUUUGCAACCUCAAUAGCUUCCGCACAAAGUUCAUUUUAGGCUUUUCUAUUUUCUUGGGCUUGUCAGUGCCACAAUACUUCAACGAAUAUACUGCAAUUAAUGGCUAUGGUCCUGUCCACACUGGAGGAAGAUGGUUCAACGAUAUUGUAAAUGUUCCUUUCUCAUCGGAAGCAUUUGUUGCGGGGUGUGUGGCAUAUUUCCUGGACAACACACUGUAUCCAAAAGAUGGUGCAAUCAGGAAAGACAGGGGUAAGCAUUGGUGGGACAAGUUCAGGUCAUUCAAGGGUGAUACAAGGAGUGAAGAAUUUUAUUCCCUGCCUUUCAAUCUAAACAAAUAUUUCCCAUCUGUGUGAUUUAAUCAGCAUCAGAAAUUAUGAAUUCUAUCUUAUCCGAAAUGUGUUCUCAAUAGCUCUGCGGGAUCACGUUGCAAUGUAAUAUUGUCAUUUCUUCUUUGUGAAUCUUAUCACGCUAUAUAGAUAGCAGUAUAAGAUAGUCUUUUUCCUUUAUAGGACCACCUUAACGAUUAUUGAAUUUGUUUUUGUUGUAAAUCCAACAAGGACAUGGACUUGAAGCAGCAUUGAAGUUUUACUGCCUUGCACUACAUUUUGUUCAGUAGUAUGCUUUUAUAAACCCUCGUAUUUUGGCAUCAGCCUGUUCGAACUGAACUGUUCCCUAGGUCAUGUAUGUGCACUUCCAUUCUUGAAUGAUUUACUCAUUAUCAUUUAAAAUAGAAUGAGCAGAGGAUUCGGG
rnacentral:misc_RNA from 1 species